rnacentral:misc_RNA from 1 species
GGAAUUCAGAAUCAAUUUUAUUGACAGAAGUUCUCUGGUCAAGAAACUCAAUAAUCAAUUGCUUAAAUUCUAAGCUAAGGAAACCUUUUAAGAGAAAUUUUUAUUUUAGUAUUGGAGAACAUAAUUAAGAGAGUUAUAUGUCAAAGAUAUUUUCAAUCUUUGAACAGAAAUUAAUAUUUCUCUCCCAGUUAUAUUUUAAACCAUAUAAACU